CUUCAUGUUACCAGGUCUGUAGCGCUUGUUUCCAUAGAAACUGUGUAUCAUCUUCAAAGGCAGAACAAAGCUGUUAUGUUGCUGAAGGAAAAAGAGAUAAGUCAAAUGAUAGUUGUCAGAACAAUUGCAUAUGUAUUAAAGCUGUUAGAGGUGAAACCCACGCAGAGCCAUGAGAAUGACAGACAAAUGAUUUGCUGUUGCAUUGCACAGCCAUCUUAAACCCUGAUGUCAUAAAACUCAGUCUCCUGAAGAGAAAACCUGCGGGAUUCUUAGACAUAGGAAGGUCCACACAGGCUUCAACAGAGGAGUGUGGACACGAUGAAUGAUUCCUAGAGUGGUACAUUGUGGGUGAGUGACACUUCCCUACAAGGUAUGUGGACUUCCUAUUCCCUGCUUUGAGUGUGGUUUCAUCUAAUAAAAGGGUCUGUGCUGAGCUGAGACUUUUGAAGACCUUUCAAGGCAUUAUCCCUUCCAGGAUAUCUACAGGGAAACAUUACUGAGAACUGACGUCAAAUACAUCAAUCCAUUUGAUGCUCAAUUGCAAGCAUGGUGCAAGUACUACUCUAAAUAAUACAAGCAGAACUCCACUAAUACAUAGUCUAGCUGCCUCUACUUUAAAAAAAAAAAAGGGAUGUAGUAUAGUUUCUCAGUGAUGCCUUAUGGAGCCCUAGUUUUAAAACCCUUCAAAGCAAUAGCUGUAUGAAAAGUAGAAGUCUUGUGCAAACAUGGAGCACUUGAGAUAGAGAACAGCCAUCAGGAAAGACAUAGACCCACCUCUGACCAUGGCUGAUGGGUGAAUCCCUUGAGAGGGCUUCUUAGUAGUGUUACAAUACAUUCACCAAGCUGGCGAGAGAAGAAUGAAAGGAAAGAGGUGAGUCUUUUAGGAGUGCAUCAUACCCCACAUAUAUAUGUUUGGCUAUGGUACCAAAAGCAGUCUUGGAUGCAACAGGAUCCAUGUCAAAACACCUGUACCAUUCUUCACAGAAAUGGAUAAAACAAUCAUAAAUUCAUUCACAGAGGAGCAUAAAGGACCCCAAGUAGACAAAACAACCCCAAGUAAAAAGAAUAAUACUGACAGUAUCAGCAUUGCUUCCUUCAAGCUAUACAACAGAGCCAUGGUGAGGAAAACAGCAUGGUACUGACACAAGGCAGACAUGUAAACCCACGGAAGAGAACAGGAGACCCAGACACAAAACAAUGAAGCCACAUCACUUCAUUUCGACGACGGUGUAAAAUACUCACGGUGGUGGGGCAGUCUUUUUGAACAAAAAAAAAAUACUGGGGAAAGUCACAUGCAGGAGAAUCAAAUUAUUGUCAAAAAAUUCUCACUCACCUCACUCAAAACCCAGUGCCAAGUGGUUCAAAGUCAUUAACGUAAGACUCAAAAACUCUGAAACCAGUGGAAGGAAAGUAGAGAAGACACUGAAAAACACAGGUGUAGGUGAGCGCCUUCUGCAUAGGACUCAAAUGCUCAGGAACUAAGAUCAGUCAUGAAGAACAAGGCCUCAAAAAAUGUUCCUGAGGUGUAGAAUGUGGCUAUGCUGUAGAGCCAAGGUCUUCAGUUCAACACCCACCCCACCCCACCCCACACACACACCACACCCUUACAGCAAAUGAGACAGUUAAGUAAGUAAAGCGCCAAAGAGAUAGCCUGCGGAGUAGAACAUCUUUGCCUGCUUU
rnacentral:lncRNA from 1 species